rnacentral:rRNA from 1 species
UACGAAGGGGGCUAGCGUUGCUCGGAAUCACUGGGCGUAAAGGGUGCGUAGGCGGGUCUUUAAGUCAGGGGUGAAAUCCUGGAGCUCAACUCCAGAACUGCCUUUGAUACUGAGAAGCUUGAGUCCGGGAGAGGUGAGUGGAACUGCGAGUGUAGAGGUGAAAUUCGUAGAUAUUCGCAAGAACACCGGUGGCGAAGGCGGCCAACUGGACCAUUACUGACGCUGAGGCGCGAAAGCGUGGGGAGCAAACAGG